rnacentral:lncRNA from 1 species
GCAAAACAGGCGCUUAACCUGAACCUGCUGGGAACCACACAUGUAGUGGAGGAUGACGGGGCUCACCUAGGUGCAGGUUAGGCAGGUGAAGCGCCUCCCCCGGAAACAGAGCUGGAGCGCCCCACCUGCCCUGGCUGCACGGAUCGGAUCCAGCACUUCCAGGUUUCUUGAGCCAGCGGUGACAGCUGAGGCCAUGUGAGUCGGAUCCUGAAUGAGGCUUUAUCUCUGGGUCUUCAUCCAGUCCCAUCGUCCACCGUGGCACCAGCUCCCUCGGCCAGCUGGGAUGGAACAGGCAACCGAAAAAGGCAGAGCCAGAGAGGUGAUGCUGACUAUCCCCUGGACCGUGAGAGGAACAGGACUCUGGGCCUCUAGCUGCCACGCAGGUGGUGGGGGCUCCAGGCUGUGAUCAGUGCCUCUGACCACUGACGCUGCCCUCUGCCCU